rnacentral:tRNA from 1 species
GUUUCCAUAGUUGAAUAACAACGAUGAUUUUUCAUGUCAUAGGUCGUGGUUUGACCCCAUGUGGAAAUU